GGCUCAUGCCUGUAAUCCCAACACUUUGGGAGGCUGAGGAACUGGAGAUAAGUAGUGACAGUGUCUUUGUUCCGGUUCAGGUCUAGUGGAUUUUGCAAUCUAUAGGGACAGCCUAUUAUGUU